GUACAACAAGCUCUGUGGUUUUAUUUCUCCUAAAUGGGAGGAAACAUAGAGAGGAAGAAAAGUAUGCAAUCUCAGUUGCAAAUGGAGGCAGGGGCUCACCAUGUUCUCUGAUACGAUUGUACCGCCCAUUGGUAAGAAUCAGAGGCUGAAAAGAUUCUGUUACUGAAACUCAACACUUAGUUGAUACCUGCUACAACUUUAACUACUCGUUGACUGUUUACGGCUUUUGCUGUAAGUUGGAGUAUGGUGACAAACACACAAGUAAGUUUGCAAAGGCA
rnacentral:lncRNA from 1 species